rnacentral:lncRNA from 1 species
GAGUUCUAGGGACCUGAACGCCAGUCCAGCUAAGUACUUGUUAUCCGCUUGCUGUCUGCCCAGCUGUCAGCAUGGGAGGUUUCGUUGCUUAUUGGCUUCUCUUCCGCACAGAUGAAAACAUGGACAAGGGCGGGAAAAGCUUUUAUCACAUUAGAAAAAGAAAAUAGUGAAUAAGUUACUAAAAUUAGGUUCAGAUUAUAUAUGAAUCCUCCUUUCUCACCUGUGUCCUAUAAUGGAGAAUAAAUAAUGGAAAGCUGAUUACAUUAUCAUCUCUAGCAACAGUGUCCUCUUCAUCGUAACCAGAUCACAUGAGACAGAUUUUACACCAUCAGUGUUAUAGUAUUAACCCUUUCAGGAUAUCAAUAUCUACCCAUAGUGAAAACAAACAAAAACUACCCUGAAAGACCCCCCUGGAGUUACUGACACCACGUGAAGGCGAGCCUUGGGAGAGUUUACUGUAGCCUGAUUACAGGCUGGAUUGCUGCACAGAUUUAAUGUUGCCUUUUCCUGUACUCACAGGAUGUGCUCCUGAGGGAAGGCAGCAACUUUGGUUUUGUAAAGGAUCCAUGCUGUUUGGCUGGCCCUGGACCUAGGUAUGUACUCGUAUGUGAUUACAGGAAAAACCAAGUGUUGGCAAGGGCAGGAGGUCAGAACCCCGUGCACCGUGGGACUGUGAGUCGGUGGUGUGGAAAGAGCAUUAAAGACUGAGCUAGCAUGUGACCCAACAGUAGCCCUCUUGAGUAGACAUCCUAAAGAACUAAAAGCAGAGUCUGAGAAAGGCUUGCGUGCGGAAGCUCACAGCAGUGCUGUUCUCUGUUGACAGGAGUCAGAAACCAUCUCGGACUCAGGUCUCCAUCAGGGAAUGACUAUAUAAACAGAGUGUGUGAGCAUGGUGGAGUACUGUCCACUUU